GUGCUCACUUCGGCAGCACAUAUACUAAAAUUGGAACGAUACAGAGAAGAUUAGCAUGGAGAAAGCAAAUGAGCACAGAAAAACCUGCUUCUUUA
rnacentral:snRNA from 1 species